rnacentral:rRNA from 1 species
GACGAACGCUGGCGGCGUGCUUAACACAUGCAAGUUGAACGGAAAGGUCCUGCUUUUGUGGGGUGCUCGAGUGGCGAACGGGUGAGUAACACGUGAGUAACCUGCCCUUGACUUUGGGAUAACUUCAGGAAACUGGGGCUAAUACCGGAUAGGAGCUCCUGCUCCAUGUUGGGGGUUGGAAAGUUUCGGCGGUUGGGGAUGGACUCGCGGCUUAUCAGCUUGUUGGUGGGGUAGUGGCUUACCAAGGCUUUGACGGGUAGCCGGCCUGAGAGGGUGACCGGGCACAUGGGGACUGAGAGACGGCGCAGACGCGUACGGGAGGCAGCAGGGGGGAAUAUUGCAGAAUGGGGGGAAGCCUGAGGCAGAAACGCCGCGUGCGGGAUGACGGCCUUCGGGUUGUAAACAGAUUUCGACUGUGACGAAGCGUGAGUGACGGUAAUGGGUAAAGAAGCACCGGCUAACUACGUG